CCUACGGGAGGCAGCAGUGGGGAAUCUUGCGCAAUGGGCGAAAGCCUGACGCAGCCAUGCCGCGUGAAUGAUGAAGGUCUUAGGAUUGUAAAAUUCUUUCACCGGGGACGAUAAUGACGGUACCCGGAGAAGAAGCCCCGGCUAACUUCGUGCCAGCAGCCGCGGUAAUACGAAGGGGGCUAGCGUUGCUCGGAAUUACUGGGCGUAAAGGGAGCGUAGGCGGAUAGUUUAGUCAGAGGUGAAAGCCCAGGGCUCAACCUUGGAAUUGCCUUUGAUACUGGCUAUCUUGAGUAUGGGAGAGGUAUGCGGAACUCCGAGUGUAGAGGUGAAAUUCGUAGAUAUUCGGAAGAACACCAGUGGCGAAGGCGGCAUACUGGCCCAUUACUGACGCUGAGGCUCGAAAGCGUGGGGAGCAAACAGGAUUAGAUACCCUGGUAGUCCACGCUGUAAACGAUGAGUGCUAGUUGUCGGCAUGCAUGCAUGUCGGUGACGCAGCUAACGCAUUAAGCACCNCCGCCGUCGGGAGGUACGGUCGCGAAGAAGUAAACUAACGAAAGAAGUAGACGGCGUGAGACGUGCCGAACGGACGACGACGACGGGAGGAGGG
rnacentral:rRNA from 1 species